rnacentral:rRNA from 1 species
UACGUAGGGGGCAAGCGUUGUCCGGAUUUAUUGGGCGUAAAGAGCGUGUAGGCGGUUAGGUAGGUCCGUUGUGAAAACUCGAGGCUCAACCUCGAGACGCCGAUGGAAACCAUCUAACUAGAGUCCGGAAGAGGAGAAUGGAAUUCCUGGUGUAGCGGUGAAAUGCGCAGAUAUCAGGAGGAACACCGAUGGCGAAGGCAGGUCUCUGGGCUGACACUGACGCUCAUGCACGAAAGCGUGGGGAGCAAACAGG